rnacentral:snRNA from 1 species
AUCGCUUCUCGAGCUUUUUAGCUCAGAUCAAAGUGUAGUAUCUGUUCUUUACUGUUUCAUCGCAGUAAUAUCCAAAACACGUGUUCAAGGUGGAUAUAAGUAUUAUUGGUCUGUAUUAAGGGUUAUUAAUAUAU